rnacentral:rRNA from 1 species
GUGCCAGCAGCAGCGGUAAUACAGAGGCCCCAAGCGUUACCCGGAAUCACUGGGCGUAAAGUGUGUGUAGGCGGUUGUGUUAGUCUUCUGUUAAAUUUCCGCGCUUAACGUGGAGUCCGCAGGGGAAACGGCACAACUAGAGGGUGUGAGAGGUUUGUGGAACUCAUAGUGUAGGGGUGAAAUCCGUUGAUAUUAUGGGGAACACCAAAAGCGAAGGCAACAAACUGGCACACUCCUGACGCUGAGACACGAAAGCGUGGGUAGCGAACGGGAUUAGAUACCCCGGUAGUCCACGCCCUAAACGAUGUCCGUUAGCUCUUUGGAGUAUCGACCCUCUGAGGGGCAAAGCUAACGCGUUAAACGGACCGCCUGGGUAGUACGGCCGCAAGGCUAAAACUCAAAGGAAUAGACGGGGGCUCGCACAAGCGGUGGAUCAUGUGGCUUAAUUCGUCGAUAAACGAAGAACCUUACCAGGAUUUGAAAUCAAACUGAAAGUUCCGUGAAAGCGGAACCCUCUUCGGACAGUUUGGCAGGUGUUGCAUGGCCGUCGUCAGUUCGUGAUUUGAAUUGUUCCCUUAAGUGGGGAAACGAACGCAACCCUUAUUGCCUGUUACAAGUGUCAGGCGAGACUGCUCCCUCACGGGAGAGGAAGGUGGGGAUGACGCCAGGUCAGUAUGACCCUUUGAUAUCCUGGGCUGCACACGUGAUACAAUGGUUACUACAACAGGACGCAAUACCGUAAGGUGGAGCAAAUCCUUAUAAAAGUAGCCCAAGUUCGGAUUGAGGUCUGCAAUUUGACCUCAUGAAGUUGGAAUCGCUAGUAAUCGCAGGUCAGCUAUACUGCGGUG